GGUCACGUUACAAAAUUAGCUCUUUAAUUAUUAUUAUAAUUAUUUUUCCUCGGUCUCCAUUUAAAUUCUCUAAUUUCUCGUAUAGGACUACUGGGGUGACGUCAUACCUCGGUGAUGGAACGUACUCCACCUAUCGAGAAUGAUUUCGUUUUCUGAGAGAGUUUGACGUUUACCUUGGCGGAGAAGCGCCUCUCGUUCUUUACUUGACUGUUGGCUGUUGUGUCGAAUAGAGGUACCAUAUAGAAUGGCGGAUGAUUUCAUCCAACUUAUUUUAUAACAUCAAGCAAUUUAAAGUAAAGUAAAAAGUUACCACCAAGGAUUGUCUGGAGUGAGGAGACAUGUGGGUGACAACUCCUGUUGGAGUCUAAAUAGGAAUCAUUCGCCAUUUGGGAGAAACCCUACCAUGAAGUCAUAGACCUUAUUUGACCACCUAGAGAAACCACUACAGCCACAGUCAAGUCACCAUUGGGAAUAUGUCUAAUUGGGAGCAAGCUAUGGGAGCGUUCCAGCUCAAUUUUCGUCUUGACACCUGGGCCUAUAGGAGUCAUGGGGUCGCACCAUCCUGGUGCAUCAUUUUCUAGGAUGCAACCGCAACCUCGUUUGGGAACAUUUAGUGAGGUGUUUUAGUAACUAUUGGUUUUUUUUUAUAUUUCAGACAAUCGUUUAAAUACACUAUGUUUUUUUUCCAGAUUUAGGUUACCUCUGGUUUUUUUUUUGACAUAUUUGUAUAUUAGAUUAUUUGGUUCCCAAACUUUGUAUCUACGGUAACUUCUUGUGCACAGGAAUAAGCCUAGAGAAAAUUAGGUUUUUAAUACUUUAUUAUUGCUUUGAUAUUGGUUUAUGUAAUUCGGGUAAAUUUAUUUUUUAAUAUUACUAGCUUGUUUCCCAAAUAUUUUACUGUUAUUCGCUUUAUUCCAUUUGUUCGGUUAAUUUAGGUCGUCGUCGGUAUUUAUCUCAACUUCAUUUCUACUUUAGUCAAUUGUAUAUUUAACUUUAUUUAUUCAUUAUUGUAUUUUCCCUUAGUGAGGCUUGGGCCUAUUUAUUUGUAGUAUUUUCAUCUUUGUCAGUUUCUUUUAGUUGUACGUAGCAGGCGUACUAUAACCAUUUGGUAGAAGACUUAUGUAAUUUUGUACCCUAUAUGUAAGUAAGAGGUACUAAUACCUGUAAUUUUGUAACAGAUAACAUUAUUGUUGUUAUCUUAGAGAUGACUUUUUGUAUAACUUAUGUCAUUUUAGAGUCACAUGAUAUACACUUUGUGUAACUCAGAGAUUGUCAAAAAUCUAGUAGUUAUUUUUAAUAAAUAUGUAUUUAUUUUGUA